GGUGAACUGCAGGGGUGAUGAGCUCCACCUGUGGGACUGUCCUCACUCUCUUCAGGAGCAGAGGAGCUGCAGCCACAAGGAGGAUGCUGGUGUUACCUGUGCAGGUUCAUCGCUGCUUAAGGCCACUACAGGCAUUCCAGCAACAUCCACAACAACAAAAAAAGUUCCUUCUCCAGUUGUACCCUCCCAAAAAGACCCAUCCAUUCCUUUUGUGGUCUUCCUGGUACUGGGAGCUCUUCUCUUCUUGCUGCUGGUGAUAACAGCUGUCCAGUUGUACCAGAAUAAAGUGCUGAAGAGAGCUCUGUACCAGGAGGGUCUCACCCCUCUGCACGAGGCCAUUUAUGAGGAGAUAGAGUACAAUCUGACCCGGGGGGAGACCUACAGAGCCCCUCGCAAGGGAAGUGUCCUCUCUGAGGAG